GUUACCCACGUGGGUCCGAAGCUGUCGCCGACCUGCGCAGGGCUGAAGUUCUGCUGCACCGCCUUCUCAUAGGGAAGCCUCUCGGGCGUCAGGAAGCUGGAGAGUGUCACCGAGCAGCUGUCCCCGAAGAGCCUGGGCAGGAGCAGCUGAUGGGCGCAUGCUCGAAGCCGCCCCUGUCCCACCCGUGAGCCAGCGGAUGGCUGGGGAAACGCUCUCCCUUGGCUAAGGCCGUGAGGACUGCCUGGCAGCUCAGCAGCACAGACCAACCUCUACCGUUCGCUCCCCAGCCCCUGGCCUGGCAGUGGCGGGAACUUUGUUCCGCGGCCCGGUUGGCCACGGCCUGGGUUUCCCUCCGGAAGGGAAGGGGAGAGCGCGCGGGUGUGGUAGGCCAAGGACCACACCUGCCGCGAAGGUUACAGUCGGUGAAGUAGAUCGGGGACACGAACUUCUCCACCCGCUCGAAAGUGGUGCGCCAGUGCUUCAAGAACGGCGCUGCCGCCAUGGCGAUGCGCCUUCCCUCCCCGGAAGAUCCUUGGUGCUGCCGGCUCGUUGCACCGCUUGGAACCAAAGGUUCCGGCAUCCAACCAGCUUACAGACCCGAGCAGCUUUUCUGGGAACACCACGGCUUUUGCAAGAGGCUGGCUCUGGGGAGCCUCCCAGUGAAACCCGGAAGCUGAGCCUUCGCGGUUCUCACCUCAGCCUUGCUGUCAGACAGCUGGGUAAAUUAUUUUAAAAUACAAUGGAGUCUGGAAGAAAAUAAUACAGGAGGAAUCUAACUAGCCUGCUUUAAUGGAAAUAACCAGGUUUACAUUCCAAAUGCAGGUUACCCAGAAAAAUGAUCAAGUAAGAAAUAUACAAUGCCAAUUAAAAUAACUUGUCAAAACUUGA